CAGUCGCCACGGUAAAACGGAGGGAGCUAGCGUUGUUCGGAAUUACUGGGCGUAAAGCGCGCGUAGGCGGUUACUCAAGUCAGAGGUGAAAGCCCGGGGCUCAACCCCGGAACUGCCUUUGAAACUAGGUGACUAGAAUCUUGGAGAGGUCAGUGGAAUUCCGAGUGUAGAGGUGAAAUUCGUAGAUAUUCGGAAGAACACCAGUGGCGAAGGCGACUGACUGGACAAGUAUUGACGCUGAGGUGCGAAAGCGUGGGGAGCAAACAGGAUUAGAUACCCGCGUAGUCCCUGUCUCUUAUAA
rnacentral:rRNA from 1 species